ACUUUCAACACGGAUCUCUUGGCUCUCGCAUCGAUGAAGAACGCAGCGAAAUGCGAUAAGUAAUGUGAAUUGCUAGAUUCAGUGAAUCAUCGAAUCUUUGAACGCACCUUGCGCUCCUUGGUAUUCCGAGGAGCAUGCCUGUUUGAGUGUCAU
rnacentral:rRNA from 1 species